rnacentral:rRNA from 1 species
UACGUAGGGUGCAAGCGUUACUCGGAAUUACUGGGCGUAAAGCGUGCGCAGGCGGUUGUGCAAGACAGGUGUGAAAUCCCCGGGCUCAACCUGGGAACUGCAUUUGUGACUGCACGGCUGGAGUGCGGCAGAGGGGGAUGGAAUUCCGCGUGUAGCAGUGAAAUGCGUAGAUAUGCGGAGGAACACCGAUGGCGAAGGCAAUCCCCUGGGCCUGCACUGACGCUCAUGCACGAAAGCGUGGGGAGCAAACAGG